rnacentral:tRNA from 1 species
GUAGGGUUGCCCGAGCGGUUAGGGGCUGGUCUGCAAAACCAGUCAGAACGGUUCAACUCCGUUACCCUACU